rnacentral:rRNA from 1 species
GACGAACGCUGGCGGCAUGGAUUAGGCAUGCAAGUCGAACGAAAAACAGAAGCUUGCUUCUGUGGACGAGUGGCGAAAGGGUGAGUAACGCGUGAGCAACCUGCCCUCAAGUCGGGGAUAACCUCUGGAAACGGGGGCUAAAACCGGAUGUGGAUAUUUUCCCGCAUGGGAUAAUAUUUAAAAAUUUAUUGCUUGAGGAUGGGCUCGCGUACCAUUAGCUAGUUGGUGUGGUAACGGCAUACCAAGGCAACGAUGGUUAGGUGGAUUGAGAGAUCGGUCACCCACACUGGGACUGAGACACUGCCCAGACUCCUACGGGAGGCUGCAGUCGAGAAUCUUCCGCAAUGCGCGAAAGCGUGACGGAGCAAUGCCGCGUGGUGGAUGAAGGCCUUAGGGUUGUAAACACCUGUCACAUGGGACGAAUAUUUGACGGUACCAUGAGAGGAAGCCACGGCUAACUACGUGCCAGCAGCCGCGGUAAUACGUAGGUGGC